GUACUCGCUUCGGCAGCAUAUAUACUAAAAUUGGAACAAUACAGAGAUUAGCAUGGCCCCUGCGCAAGGAUGACCCACAAAUUCAUGAAGCAUUCCAUAUUAAA
rnacentral:snRNA from 1 species